CAAUGACGACAAUAAUCACAAACAUGUAAUACGGUAAGUUUUAAAUAUUAUUUUAUUAUUUAUUUCUAUUAUCGUAUUUGAACAUUUCAGGAGAUCAGAAAAGAAGAUGUGACUGUUGGGUAAACAAUGGCGUGGUCUGCUGUGGGUUUUUCUUUCUUUGGAUCGGUGCCAGAUACUGACAGGCGGAUUAAAAUCCAGACACACAGAUGGGAUUGGAGCAUUCUACAUUCCGCACAUAAUUCAGAAGCUCUAUCCACUACGCCGCUGGCGUUGAUGACAUCUGUUGAACAUAACCUGUUUGGAAGAUAUGGAAUCACUUCAAAUUCUGCUGGUUACACCAUCCCCAAAUAUAUUUCAAGGACAAUAUGUUGAGAAGGGUGUAUAAAUGAUGAAUACUGGAUAGCACGAGAUAAGCAUUACAUCACCAGUAAGAGAAGGAGCAAUAUCGCCAUUUGAUGAUUUGCGCCCUGCCCACUGGACAUACCACGACUGCCACUCUAGUUCACUCGGCUGUACAUUGAAUUAGUAUUGGCUUCGGUUGGAGGGAGAGCUUAGACUGUGAUGGACUGGUGUCUCACUCUGUUACUCUUAUCCGUUAACCACUUAUCAUUCCGAGGAAUGACAAUGAUGAUCAGAAUUCAUCAGUACCUCCGCAACUAGUAGGAUUCAGAAGUAUUCAUAGUAGAGUUUUUCACCCCAAGCUCAAAUGAUGUAGUUGAUGCAGAACCCGCAUUCCCUAUGGUGAACUGAAACUGAAAAGUGCCACAGGAUGACAAAACUUUCUCAUGAUGGAGACGUCACCAAUGCCGGUGAAGGACUUCAAAAUUUAGGCCUAUGAUUGGAGCUUACAACCUUUGAGCAGGGGGUCUUUAUUCUGUCACACCUGCUGUGACACAGGGCCUCGGGUUAUGUUGUCUUAUCCGAAGAACCGCCCCGUUUAGUCGCCUCUUACGACAAGAAGGGAUACUGAGGACCUAUUCUAACCCGGAUCACGGAGGUGUAUCGUCCAUAAUCGGCUCCACAAAAAUUUAAUUCCACAGGAAACCAACCAACAGGACGGACACAUAAUUGUGUGCACUCGAUUUAAGAUGUAGAUAUUAAACUUAAUUGCUAUUAAUAUGUUGAGGAGUGUAUACAUGUGAUAACUAUAUGACGAUACACGAUAUACUGGCUGUCAUCGUAAAUAAAAGAUAAAAUGCGUGUUGUAAUAAUAUGUGGUCAACUUGCGAGAAAAUUACGUUUUGUUUGAAUAAAA